GAUGAACGCUGGCGGCGUGCCUAAUACAUGCAAGUCGAGCGAACGGACGAGAAGCUUGCUUCUCUGAUGUUAGCGGCGGACGGGUGAGUAACACGUGGAUAACCUGCCUAUAAGACUGGGAUAACUUCGGGAAACCGGAGCUAAUACCGGAUGAUAUUUUGAACCGCAUGGUUCAAAAGUGAAAGACGGUCUUGCUGUCACUUAUAGAUGGAUCCGCGCUGCAUUAGCUAGUUGGUAAGGUAACGGCUUACCAAGGCAACGAUGCAUAGCCGACCUGAGAGGGUGAUCGGCCACACUGGAACUGAGACACGGUCCAGACCCCUACGGGAGGCAGCAGUAGGGAAUCUUCCGCAAUGGGCGAAAGCCUGACGGAGCAACGCCGCGUGAGUGAUGAAGGUCUUCGGAUCGUAAAACUCUGUUAUUAGGGAAGAACAUAUGUGUAAGUAACUGUGCACAUCUUGACGGUACCUAAUCAGAAAGCCACGGCUAACUACGUG
rnacentral:rRNA from 1 species